UACGGGGGGGGCAAGCGUUGUUCGGAAUUACUGGGCGUAAAGGGCUCGUAGGUGGCCAACUAAGUCAGACGUGAAAUCCCUCGGCUUAACCGGGGAACUGCGUCUGAUACUGGAUGGCUUGAGUUCGGGAGAGGGAUGCGGAAUUCCAGGUGUAGCGGUGAAAUGCGCAGAUAUCGGGAGGAACACCAGUAGCGAAGGCGGCUCGCUGGGCCGUUCCUGACGCUGAGACGCGAAAGCUAGGGGAGCGAACAGG
rnacentral:rRNA from 1 species